rnacentral:rRNA from 1 species
CGACCGGCGCACGGGUGAGUAACACGUAUCCACCUUCCGGUUACUCGGGGAUAGGCUUUCGAAAGAAAGAUUAAUACCCGAUGUUGCGUAUCUUUCUCCUGAAAGAUACGCCAAAGGAUUCCGGUAACCGAUGGGGAUGCGUUCCAUUAGGCAGUUGGCGGGGUAACGGCCCACCAAACCUUCGAUGGAUAGGGGUUCUGAGAGGAAGGUCCCCCACAUUGGAACUGAGACACGGUCCAAACUCCUACGGGAGGCAGCAGUGAGGAAUAUUGGUCAAUGGACGGAAGUCUGAACCAGCCAAGUAGCGUGAAGGAUGACUGCCCUCUGGGUUGUAAACUUCUUUUAUACGGGAAUAACAUGAGGUACGCGUACCUUAUUGCAUGUACCGUUAUGAAUAAGCAUCGGCUAACUCCGUGCCAGCAGCCGCGGUAAUACGGAGGAUGCGAGCGUUAUCCGGAUUUAUUGGGUUUAAAGGGAGCGUAGGUGGGAUAUUAAGUCAGCUGUGAAAGUUUGGGGCUCAACCUUAAAAUUGCAGUUGAUACUGGUUUCCUUGAGUACGGUACAGGUGGGCGGAAUUCGUGGUGUAGCGGUGAAAUGCUUAGAUAUCACGAAGAACUCCGAUCGCGAAGGCAGCUCACCGGGCCGGAACUGACACUGAUGCUCGAAAGUGCGGGUAUCAAACAGGAUUAGAUACCCUGGUAGUCCGCACAGUAAACGAUGAAUACUCGCUGUUUGCGAUACACUGUAAGCGGCCAAGCGAAAGCGUUAAGUAUUCCACCUGGGGAGUACGCC